rnacentral:rRNA from 1 species
UGGGGAAUUUUGGACAAUGGGGGAAACCCUGAUCCAGCCAUCCCGCGUGUGCGAUGAAGGCCUUCGGGUUGUAAAGCACUUUUGGCAGGAAAGAAACGUCGCGGGUUAAUACCCCGCGAAACUGACGGUACCUGCAGAAUAAGCACCGGCUAACUACGUGCCAGCAGCCGCGGUAAUACGUAGGGUGCAAGCGUUAAUCGGAAUUACUGGGCGUAAAGCGUGCGCAGGCGGUUCGGAAAGAAAGAUGUGAAAUCCCAGAGCUUAACUUUGGAACUGCAUUUUUAACUACCGGGCCAGAGUGUGUCAGAGGGAGGUGGAAUUCCGCGUAGCAGUGAAAUGCGUAGAUAUGCGGAGGAACACCGAUGGCGAAGGCAGCCUCCUGGGAUAACACUGACGCUCAUGCACGAAAGCGUGGGGAGCAAACAGGAUUAGAUACCCUGGUAGUCCACGCCCUAAACGAUGUCAACUAGCUGUUGGGGCCUUCGGGCCUUGGUAGCGCAGCUAACGCGUGAAGUUGACCGCCUGGGGAGUACGGUCGCAAGAUUAAAACUCAAAUGAAUUGACGGGGUCAUAGCUG